UACGAAGGGUGCAAGCGUUACUCGGAAUUACUGGGCGUAAAGCGUGCGUAGGCGGUUUGUUAAGUCCGUUGUGAAAGCCCUGGGCUCAACCUGGGAAUUGCAGUGGAUACUGGCGAGCUAGAGUGCGGUAGAGGAUGGUGGAAUUCCCGGUGUAGCGGUGAAAUGCGUAGAGAUCGGGAGGAACACCCGUGGCGAAGGCGGUCAUCUGGACCAGCACUGACGCUGAGGCACGAAAGCGUGGGGAGCAAACAGG
rnacentral:rRNA from 1 species